AUUGUUUCUGGGGUGUGUUACAAAGGAAUCUUAGUGAGGCUGGUUUGGAGGGUGAGAAAUUAAGCUUCAAACUAUGGUGAACAGAUUGGAGGGGUCCAGAAUGGAUGCGAGGAGAUGAUUAAGGAGGCGACUACAGUCUUCCUGGGCACAGAUGAUGAGGAGCAGAUGGAGAGACAGAGAUGGAUCUGAAUGGAAUUUCUUGAAAGAAACACUGAUAUCAAGGACCUCUCAAACUGAAAAUUCAGCAGGGGACAAGAAAAUCUGUCCACCACAGCACUACGGGAGUCAAAGCUUAUGAUACCAUUUGCUUCUUGAACUUAGAUGAGUAGCACUUCACUCUGAUAAUCCUUGCUUUAAUUAAAUAUGAAAGAGAAUAAUAGAACCUCUUCUUACACUGUGCGCUGCUGUGCUCUAGAAAGUUUAUCCACCCAGGAAUAAUCAGGACAGGGAUCUUGACUGCUGUUGAUCACCUAUUGAAAAUAUUGGCACAAACAAAAACAAAAACAGCGUUCAAUUGAUAGUCAUACUGGUGGCAAGAAGAUUUUCAGUGUUUUUCUCUUC